rnacentral:tRNA from 1 species
GCGGCCAUAGCUCAACUGGAUAGAGCGUCGCCCUCCGAAGGCGAAGGUUGUGGGUUCGACUCCCGCUGGCCGCACCA